GAUGAACGCUGGCGGCGUGCCUAAUACAUGCAAGUCGAGCGAACGGACGAGAAGCUUGCUUCUCUGAUGUUAGCGGCGGACGGGUGAGUAACACGUGGAUAACCUACCUAUAAGACUGGUAUAACUUCGGGAAACCGUAUCUAAUACCGGAUAAUAUUUUGAACCGCAUGGUUCAAAAGUGAAAGACGGUCUUGCUGUCACUUAUAGAUGGAUCCGCGCUGCAUUAGCUAGUUGGUAAGGUAACGGCUUACCAAGGCAACGAUGCAUAGCCGAACUGAGAGGGUGAUCGGCCACCCGAGAACGGAGACACGGUCCUGACUCCUACGGGACGCAGCAGUAGGGAAUCUUCCGCAAUGGGCGAAAGCCUGACGGAGCAACGCCGAGUGAGUGAUGAAGGUCUUCGGAUCGUAAAACUCUGUUAUUAGGGAUGAACAUAUGUGUAAGUAACUGUGCACAUCUUGACGGUACCUAAUCAGAAAGCCACGGCUAACUACGUG
rnacentral:rRNA from 1 species